rnacentral:miRNA from 11 species
CGGGUUUCGCGACGCUCGAACG